CCUACGGGAGGCAGCAGUGGGGAAUAUUGCACAAUGGGGGAAACCCUGAUGCAGCGACGCCGCGUGAGCGAUGAAGUAUUUCGGUAUGUAAAGCUCUAUCAGCAGGGAAGAAAAUGACGGUACCUGACUAAGAAGCCCCGGCUAACUACGUGCCAGCAGCCGCGGGAAUACGUAGGGGGCAAGCGUUAUCCGGAUUUACUGGGUGUAAAGGGAGCGUAGACGGUCCUGCAAGCCAGAUGUGAAAGCCCGGGGCUCAACCCCGGGACUGCAUUUGGAACUGUAAGGCUAGAGUGUCGGAGAGGUAGGCGGAAUGCCUAGUGUAGCGGUGAAAUGCGUAGAUAUUAGGAGGAACACCAGUGGCGAAGGCGGCCUGCUGGACGAUGACUGACGUUGAGGCUCGAAAGCGUGGGGAGUAAACAGGAUUAGAUACCCGGGUAGUC
rnacentral:rRNA from 1 species